rnacentral:rRNA from 1 species
UUCGAUCAUGGCUCAGAUUGAACGCUGGCGGGAUGCUUUACGCCUGCAAGUCGAACAUGCAGCCUGACUUCCGGUCUGGUGGCGAGUGGCGAACGGGUGAGUAAUGUAUCGGAACGUGCCUAGUAGCGGGGGAUAACUACGCGAAAGCGUAGCUAAACCGCAUACGCCCUUCGGGGGGAAAGCGGGGGACCUUCGGGCCUCGCACUAUUAAACGGCCGAUAUGAUUCGUAAUAGUUGGUGGGGUAACGGCUCACCAGGAGGCGACGAUCCGUAGCUGGAUUUCCCAGAGGACGACCAGCCUUGCUGGGACUGGGGUCACGGCCCAGACUCCUGCAGGGAGGCAGCAGUGGGAAUUUUGGACAAUGGAAACCUGAUCCAGCCAUCCCGCGUGUGCGAUGAAGGCCUUCAGGUUGUAAAGCACUUUUGGCAGGAAAGAAACGGCACGGAUAUGCCCCGUGCAACUGACGAAGUACCUGCAGAAUAAGCACCGGCUAACUACGUGCCAGCAGCCGCGGUAAUACGUAGGGUGCAAGCGUUAAUCGAUUACUGAGCGUAAAGCGUGCGCAGGCGGUUGGAAGAAGAUGUGGAAAUCGAGCUUAACUUUGGAACUGCAUUUUUAACUACCGAGCUAGAGUGUAUCAGAGGAGGUGGAAUUCCGCGUGUAGCAGUGAAAUGCGUAGAUAUGCGGAGGAACACCACAUUGGCUAGCCUCCUGGGAUAACACUGACGCUCAUGCACAGAAAGCGUGGGAGCAAACGGGAUUAGAUACCCUGGUAGUCCACGCCUAAACGAUGUCAACUAGCUGUUGGGGCCUUCGGGCCUUGGUAGCGCAACUAACGCGUGAAGUUGACCGCCUGGGGGAAUACGGUCGCAAGAUUAAAACUCAAAGGAAUUGACGGGACCGCACAAGCGGUGGAUGAUGUGGAUUAAUUCGAUGCAACGCGAAAAACCUUACCUACCCUUGACAUGUCUGGAAUCCGAAGAGAUUUGGGAGUGCUCGCAAGAGAACCAGACACAGGUGCUACGCGCUGUCGUCAGCUAGUCGUCGUGAGAUGUUAAGGGUUAAGUCCACCAGCGAAACGCAACCCUUGUCGAUGGUGCUACGAAGGGUGCAUCUAAUGAGACUGCCGGUGACAAACCGGAGGAAGGUGGGGAUGACGUCAGAGUCCUCGUGGCCCUUGCUGGGUGAGGCUUGCGUCCGCCUGUGGUCGGGACAGAGGUCGCCAACCCGCGAGGAGCCAAUCGAGGCGAUCGUAGUCGGAUCGCAGUCUGCAACUCGACUGCGUGAAGUCGGAAUCGCUCGUAAUCGCGGAUCAGCAUGUCGCGGUGAAUACGUUCCGGGUCUUGUACACACCGCCCGUCACACCAUGGGAGUGGGUUUUACCAGAAGUAGUUAGCUAACCGUAAGGAGGGCGAUUCUACGGUAGGAUUCAUGACUGGGAGUGGCGUCCUUCU